rnacentral:rRNA from 1 species
GAUGAACGCUGGCGGCGUGCUUAACACAUGCAAGUCGAACGGUGAAGGCGGAGCUUGCUCUGCUGGAUCAGUGGCGAACGGGUGAGUAACACGUGAGCAAUCUGCCCCUGACUCUGGGAUAAGCGCUGGAAACGGCGUCUAAUACUGGAUACGAGCUGCGAAGGCAUCUUCAGAAGCUGGAAAGAACUUCGGUCAGGGAUGAGCUCGCGGCCUAUCAGCUUGUUGGUGAGGUAACGGCUCACCAAGGCGUCGACGGGUAGCCGGCCUGAGAGGGUGACCGGCCACACUGGGACUGAGACACGGCCCAGACUCCUACGGGAGGCAGCAGUGGGGAAUAUUGCACAAUGGGCGAAAGCCUGAUGCAGCAACGCCGCGUGAGGGACGACGGCCUUCGGGUUGUAAACCUCUUUUAGCAGGGAAGAAGCGAAAGUGACGGUACCUGCAGAAAAAGCGCCGGCUAACUACGUG